rnacentral:rRNA from 1 species
UACGUAGGUGGCAAGCGUUGUCCGGAAUUAUUGGGCGUAAAGCGCGCGCAGGCGGUCCUUUAAGUCUGAUGUGAAAGCCCACGGCUCAACCGUGGAGGGUCAUUGGAAACUGGGGGACUUGAGUGCAGAAGAGGAAAGCGGAAUUCCUGGUGUAGCGGUGAAAUGCGCAGAGUAUCAGGAGGAACACCGAUGGCGAAGGCAGCACUCUGGUACAUGACUGACGCUGAGACGCGAAAGCGUGGGUAGCAAACAGG